rnacentral:tRNA from 1 species
GGGAAGUUGGCUCAGUGGUAGAGUGCUUGCCUUGCAUGCAUGAGGCCCUGAGUUAGAUUGCUCA